UUUUGUAUUUUGGAGACGAGACAGUCUGUUCCAAGUUCUGAGUUGGGGACGGUAGCAAUUCUCCAUGACCAAAACACUCUGCAGCUGCGUCCUUUGGAGCAGGGAACACGAGCUGCUUUGUUGACCCCUCUUCACCCCAGAGGCGUGUCUUCUAGGUUCAGUCCAGGAUGCAGCCUGCCAGUCAUUGGUCAGGUCACAAAUAUGUGCAGCACACAGCAAGGUCCUCCCUGUGACCGGCCGGUGUGGCUGUGUGCUGUCUGUCACCCCAGCGCCCUGGACCUCAGUCUGCAGAGAAGCAGCUGUGACAAGCACAGAAAGGCAGGCACUGGUGCCUCCUGUCGAAGCCCCCAAUGCACCAGCAGCCCUCGUGUUAAUUUAAGAAGUUGACUGAACAAUCUGGCACAGUCGCUGGAAACUGAAGAAGGCUUUUGGGAGAUUGAUGACUGAUGACAAAAACAGGGCAGCACUCGGUGACUUUCUGCUGGUUCUUGAGAAUCCAAAUGAAAGUCCUACCCUGAACCUGCUCUGCAAAGGGGACCCACAUGAGGUCGCUUGGAAAGGGUCCUGACCCACCCACCAUGUCAAGCAAUUAUUUUUCUGGACAGCUUCCUGAUGUCCCCAAGGAGAGAGAGAGCGUGACAGCCAGUGAGGGAAAGCAUGCCACAGGUCCCGCCUGCUAACCUGGCAGGAGGGUGCUUGCAACACCUAAUUUAUCAACGCUUGUUUUCCCUGCUGGAGCCAAGUACACAAAAUCACUCCGCCAACAGAGAAAGAGAAAGGGGAAGCCAUUCUUCACCUUUUUCAGUAAUGUAUUUUUGUUUUGGUCAAUUUCCCAGAUAAAUUAUGGUCUUGUCUCAUUGCUGCAUUGGUGGAAUUCUUGCUAGUGUUAUUUAGUACAUUUUAAAGCUGUGUGAAACCAAAAGGUACUUAAAAAAAAAAAAAAAAGGAAAGUUAACCAAAUUGAAGGGUAAAUUUUUUACAUUGUUCCACUGGCUCCAGUUGGAGCUUAAUCAUCACGACCCUUCCUUCAGUCCACAGCGCCUGCUUCAAGAUGCAGCAGAAGUCAAAAUUGCAAGAGUCUGGAUGUUUUGCUUUCGUGUAACUCAUUAGGCAUUUCCCCCUGUGCUAUGAUAAAUGUCUCUCUCAACCAGAAAUUUUAUCUCACCUGUGUAUGUCCCUAUUUCACUCUGCGGAAUCACUCUCAGGAAAUACAAGCUAAUGAUGUCUGUGGUUCUGAAAUUUCCUUGUUAUUAUUUGUUUAAGACAUUUUUUAAAAAAACCUGUGGACAGCUUAUUAAAAGGAUGCUGAGCAAUGAAAACAUUAUUAGACCAUAUUAUUGUUUAUUGUACCCAGAUGUCGUGCAUUUUACACAUCCCAAAGGAUUAGUAGUAAUGUUGGAUACCAAAAUCUUACUUUUCCUUGCAGAUAUUGAGACUAAAUUUUUCUCAUUAAAAACAAAACAUUUACACUGAACAAAUGGUGCGUGUCCGGGUGAAGCAUCAGGUCUCAAGAAGGCAACACUGCUCAAACGAGACUUAGGACAGAACUGGAGACCAAAACAAAGCUGAGGCUACUGUUGGAAAUACUGGUCUAAAAAAAGGAAGAGUGUGGUAUGCUUGUUUUUUAGUUUUAUAGAAUUUUCCAUUUGGAAAGGAGAGAAAUGCAUACAUCCAAGCUGAAAUAAACCAUUCUAGCAAACAUGCCGAGGAAUAAUUUUCAAGAAUGUUUUGUUUUUAAUGAAAAGGAAAGCAAAUCAAAGAAAACCUGGGUAAGUGUUAAAGAGUACUAAAUUUAUAGUAAGGUUCAGGCAAUCUGCCCACUGCAAUCAGAAAGGUUUGGGCUGUUAGUCAUUUAAGACACACAAUGGGAAAAUAAACAAAGAAGGAGGAAGGGGGAAUGGUAAACUGUAGUUUGGCAGCAAAAUUAGUCCAGCUAGUUCCAUUACAUAUUAAACCAUGUCACAAAGCAAAUAAUUGAAAUAAUGAGGAGCUCAUUUUUUAAAAGAUAUAUAGAGUAGCAUAACAGAAUCAACAAAAAUAAGACUGUUUUAUAUAACAAUUCAAUAGACAAUAAAUAAGCACUCCAUUUGGGGAAAAGAAUCACACAAUAAAUGAUGCUGGGAUGGCUUGUGAGUAAUUUGGAGAAAACUGAUCUAGAAUGAGAGCGAGUAUUCCACAUUCGCCACUCUCUUGUCUUUUGGCUUUCUAUCACCUUGGCCAAUGGAGGAAGACAGCAAAAAACAGGAAGGAGGAAGAGUAUGAAGGGAGUCAUUUCUCCCCGGCACUCCAUGCCAGGUUGCUCCAGAAGGCUGUGUCUCUGUCCUAAGGGCUACAGCUUGGCUUGGGCAGUCUUUCCAUACAACUCUCCAGGUUCGGGAAAUUGCUUACUCAUCUGCCCCUGCAAGUGCAGGGAUGACAAUCACUUCCAGCUGAGCUGAGCCCAGCAUGCUGCAUCAUUCUUUGUUGAUGUCCCUCAACUCCGCUGGCGCUAUCUUGAUUAUCCUUAGGCUUACCUCAGUUCCCCAGUCCUAGUGGGCCUUCUGGUUCCUCCUGGGGCACUGACUGAUCCAGGUGCCCUGGGGUUCAGUCGCUAAGUUUCAGCUUCCUAUGUGAUGGGGUUUGGUUCUGUCCUUGUCUAAAUCUCAUGUUGAAUUGUAAUCCCCAGUGCUGGAGGUGGGGCCUGGUGAGAGGUGACUGGAUCAUGGGGUGGAUUUCUCACGAAUAGUUUAGUGCCGUUCCGUUGGUGCUAUCCUCAUGAUAGUGAGUGAGUUCUUGCAAAAUCUGGUCAUUUAAAAGUGCUCCUGCUUUUGCCAUGUGAUGUGUGACAUGCGUACUCCCGCUUCACCUUCCACCACGAUUGUAAGUUUCCUGAGGCUUCCCCAGAAACUGAGCAGAUGCCAGUAUCAUGCUUCCUGUACAGCCUGAGGAUCCAUGAGCCAAUUAAACCUCUUUUCUCUAUAAAUUAUCCAGUCUCAGGUAUUUUUUAUAGCAAUGCAAGAACAGCCUAAUACUGUGCAAUUUCAGAAUCCCAAGUUUCUCUAUUUACCCAAGACCGGGGGGUGCUCCCGCGGCCUGAUUCAUGCUCACAGACAUGCAAA
rnacentral:lncRNA from 10 species